rnacentral:rRNA from 1 species
CGGGUGAGUAACACGUGGGUGACCUUCCCCAAAGACGGGGAUAACUCUUGGAAACAGGGGCUAAUACCCGAUGUGCUCAGCAGUUCACUCUGUUGAGUAAAGCUAUGGCGCUUUGGGAUGGGCCCGCGGCCCAUCAGCUAGUUGGUAGGGUAAAGGCCUACCAAGGCUAAGACGGGUAGGGGGCGUGAGAGCGCGAUCCCCCACACUGGCACUGAGACACGGGCCAGACUCCUACGGGAGGCAGCAGUGAGGAAUAUUGCGCAAUGGACGAAAGUCUGACGCAGCGACGCCGCGUGGGCGAUGAAGGCCUUCGGGUCGUAAAGCCCUUUUCUGGGGGAAGAGAAAGGACGGUACCCCAGGAAUAAGCCCCGGCUAACUACGUGCCAGCAGCCGCGGUAAAACGUAGGGGGCAAGCGUUAUCCGGAUUUACUGGGCGUAAAGAGCGUUGAGGCGGUUUUGUAAGUUGGGCGUGAAAGCCCUGGGCUUAACUCAGGGAAGCCGUUCAAUACUGCGAAACUUGAGGGCAGCAGAGGGAGGUGGAAUUCCCGGAGUAGCGGUGAAAUGCGUAGAUAUCGGGAGGAACACCAGUGGCGAAGGCGGCCUCCUGGGCUGCUCCUGACGCUGAAGGCGAAAGCUAGGGGAGCGAACGGGAUUAGAAACCCCGGUAGUCCUAGCCGUAAACGAUGGAUGCUAGGUGUGGGGGGUGUAGAUUCCCUCCGUGCCGCAGUUAACGCGUUAAGCAUCCCGCCUGGGGAGUACGGCCGCAAGGCUAAAACUCAAACGAAUUGACGGGGGCCCGCACAAGCAGCGGAGCGUGUGGUUUAAUUCGAUGCUACACGAAGAACCUUACCUGGGCUUGACAUACAGGUAGUAGUGAAGUGAAAGCGGAUCGAUCCUUCGGGGAGCCUGUACAGGUGCUGCAUGGCUGUCGUCAGCUCGUGC